UACGUAGGCGGACUGGAAAGUUGGGGGUGAAAUCCCGGGGCUCAACCUCGGAACUGCCUUCAAAACUAUCAGUCUAGAGUUCGAGAGAGGUGAGUGGAAUUCCAAGUGUAGAGGUGAAAUUCGUAGAUAUUUGGAGGAACACCAGUGGCGAAGGCGGCUCACUGGCUCGAUACUGACGCUGAGGUACGAAAGUGUGGGGAGCAAAACA
rnacentral:rRNA from 1 species